rnacentral:lncRNA from 1 species
GCAACCAGGCUUUCAUACCUUGGGACCCUCACCCAGGGGCUCGUCCAUCCCUGAGUCUGGAGUUACUCUGACGGGGGCCCCGAAGCCCCUUUCCUCCAAGGCAGCCUCAGCGGAGGAGGCCAUUGCCCUCUGGAUAAACAACUUAUUAUAACCGAAAACUCCCAUUCCACUUUCAGCCUCUCCCUUUCCAGUAUGAAUAACCCCAGUGCCUUUCAUCUGACUCGGCACUUCUGUCAGCUCUUCCAACCUGCCGGCACGCCCAUGAUUCCAGGCUUGACCUGGUCUCGUCUCCUGGCGUCGUUCCCUUCCUCCUCUCUCUGCUCUUUGCUGGACUAGCUCAUCUUUCAGGUGUAAACUUAAAGGUUUCGUUCCCUGGGAAGGUGUCCCUCUGGCCCUGCUACACUGGAACUCUGUUCCGGACUUGCCCCUCUCCUGUGAAAGAGAACACCACACUUAUUGCUAUUCGUGUCUAAAUGUCUGUCUUCCCCACUAGGCGGACGUCUCCUGUCUGGUUUGUUUCAGGGAACAUCUCUGUCUUAUCUAGCACGCUUGGCACUUAGACAGGACUCACUGAAUGAAUGUUCCGUUUGUUAAAUUCAAAGGACAUACCUUCUGAUUUCAGGAUGACCAUGAAGUCCCUGACUUCAAAGAACAGCCCCCCGGUCCCCACCCCUCCCACCAACCUGCAGACCAUGUUUACUCAGCCCGAUGGCAGCCUCGCCCCACUGCCUGCUCCGAGGAAGCAUGUGUCUGCAGCCUUGGCUAUCUUCAAAGGGUUUUGUUUGGAUCAGCUGGAAGGACUUCAGCACCUUCAUCAAAUCAGGAUGAACAUUACAUUGUCCAGACUUCACAGCGUGGAAGUUGGUGGCUUUUUGGUGCAGACACAGUGGAGAUAA